rnacentral:lncRNA from 1 species
UGUGUGUCGGUGUGUGUCGGUGUGUGUCGGUGUGUGUGUGUGUGUGUGUGUGUGUCAGUGGCCAUUUGGGCAAGGAGCUUACAACUGAUGUCCCCCUAUAACACCAGUCAGUGAGAGGAGGGGAGGAUGUAAACAGCAGAGAGCGAGGAAGAGGGGAAAGUGGGGAGAGAUGGACGUUUUGAGGGAGGGAGGAAAGAGAGCAAGAGGAGGGGAGAUGGAGAGAGGAGAAAGGAAGGUAGUGAGAAAAAGAAAAGGCGUAUGGAAGGCUGGAGUGAACACUGUCAGAGAAGAAAACGUGGAGAGAGGGAUGGAGAAACAGAUGAGUGUUUCCCAACAACAGGUCAGGACCUAUUGGGUCACCGCUAUUCCUUUUGGGACACACCUAAACACAAGAUUAAACCCAAACACACUGCUUUGAUUUAUUGGGCGAAUCACAAUAUAUUUCAAAUCAGCUUUGAGCAUUUGGCAGUAUGAAGCUGUAUGAAGCUGUAUGACGCUGUAUGACGCUGUAUGACGCUGUACUAGGCAUUGCGUCGUCCUGAACCUUCUUUCAGUAUUCUAGUUCCAGCCUACCUUCCACUGAUCAGACCUCAGCGGCCCAGUGAAUGGUUGAGACCAGCACAUCACAUUAAAUAUCAAUGGCUUUACAUGGCUAACAGCUCUAGAGGCUGUUCAUCUGACAGAGAGAAAGGACAAUAUGACAGGCUGGACAGCUAACGGACAGGGAAAAGAGGGAGAGACGUAAAGACAGGGAUGGAGAGAUGUGAGAAGUGAAGGAGACAGGCUAGCCAGUAUACUGAAGACAGGAAAAGAGAGUGACAAACAAUUGAGAGAGAGAGAGUGCGGAAGCGAGAGAGUGAGCGUGUAUGAUGCUGUACAGCACUGAUGGUAAAGCCUGCCAUUAAACUUUAAAUCACUCUGCUUUCCUAUAAAUACCUUUCCAAUGAUCUAUGCAUUAUUCAACCCCUCUCAGGCCAACACACAUCACACACACCUGGGAGGAGACAUAAACAGAGUUCAGAGAAAUGACUGCAUAUAAACAUUUCAGGAAGAUGACUAACUAAAAAUAGAUUAAUGAUGGACUGCAAAGAGCUACCCAUGAAAACCUGUACGAGACUACCUAUCCAGGAUGAACGUGUGUGUGUGUGUGUGUGUGUGUGUGUGUGUGUGUGUGUGUGUGUGUGUGUGUGUGUGUAUGUGUGUGUGUGUGUCCUGCAUGGUGUGGCGCCCCUAAUCCGAGUUGAUACAGAUCAGACAGACAAACACCAGUAAACUACAGGUUGUUUCCACACAGUGAUGCUAACCACACAGUAAUGCUAACCACACAGUGAUGCUAACCACACAGUGAUGCUAACCACACAGUGAUGCUAACCACACAGUAAU